rnacentral:rRNA from 1 species
UGGGGAAUUUUGGACAAUGGGGGCAACCCUGAUCCAGUCAUCCCGCGUGUGCGAUGAAGGCCUUCGGGUUGUAAAGCACUUUUGGCAGGGAAGAAACGGCGCUCUUUAAUACGGGGCGCAACUGACGGUACCUGCAGAAUAAGCACCGGCUAACUACGUGCCAGCAGCCGCGGUAAUACGUAGGGUGCAAGCGUUAAUCGGAAUUACUGGGCGUAAAGCGUGCGCAGGCGGUUCGGAAAGAAAGAUGUGAAAUCCCAGGGCUCAACCUUGGAACUGCAUUUUUAACUCCCGAGCUAGAGUAUGUCAGAGGGGGGUAGAAUUCCACGUGUAGCAGUGAAAUGCGUAGAGAUGUGGAGGAAUACCGAUGGCGAAGGCAGCCCCCUGGGAUAAUACUGACGCUCAUGCACGAAAGCUUGGGGAGCAAACA